rnacentral:tRNA from 1 species
GCAGUGGUGGUUCAGUGGUAAAAUUCCUCCCUUCCAUGCAGGAGACCCAGGUUUGAUUCUUGGCCAGUGCA